UACGUAGGGUGCGAGCGUUAAUCGGGAUUACUGGGCGUAAAGCGUGCGCAGGCGGUUUUGUAAGACAGACGUGAAAUCCCCGGGCUUAACCCGGGAACUGCGUUUGUGACUGCAAGACUAGAGUACGGCAGAGGGGGGUAGAAUUCCACGUGUAGCAGUGAAAUGCGUAGAUAUCUGGAGGAACACCGGUGGCGAAGGCGGCGUUCUGGACUGCAACUGACACUGAGGAACGAAAGCCAGGGGAGCAAACGGG
rnacentral:rRNA from 1 species